UUGACAGACAACGGCGUAAAGAGUGGUUAGGGAUUUUAGGACUAAAGCCGAAGGCCCUCAAAGCAGUUAUACGCUCACGAGAGUACGAAGCCCACCUACGAAAGUGGCUUUAUGAACCCCUGAACCCACGAAAGCUAUGGUACAAACUGGGAUUAGAUACCCCAUUAUGCUUAGCCCUAAACAUUGAUAGUGAAUUUACAUAAACUAUCCGCCUGGGUACUACGAGCAGAAGCUUAAAACCCAAAGGACUUGACGGUGCUUUAGACCCACCUAGAGGAGCUUGUUCUAGAACCGAUACUCCACGUUAAACCUUACCUUUUCUUGCUAAUUCCGCCUAUAUACCGCCGUCGUCAGCUUACCCUGCAAAGGACAAGCAGUAAGCUCAAUUGGCACAGCCCAAAACGCCAGGUCGAGGUGUAGCGUAUGAAAAGGAAAGAAAUGGGCUACAUUCAAUCAAGCAAUGAAUACGAAUGAUGAACUUGAAACAGUCAUCUGAAGGAGGAUUUAGCAGUAAAAGGAAAGCAGAGUGUUCCUUUGAAGCAGGCUCUAAAGCGCGUACACACCGCCCGUCACUCUCCCCGAGAACAAUAACCCUGUAAAUAACCCUACAAAAUAAAUAAGG
rnacentral:rRNA from 1 species